GGGUUCAAUGAGGAUCAGGUCGAGCUCUCAAAGUAUUCGAAAGAAGUGGUGUCGCCAAGUGAGGAUUAUUCUUGCUAUUGAUGCUGUUGUUUGCUUGAUACUAUUCAUAAUUUGGCUGUCAAUCUGUGAUGGUUUUAGAUGUACCAGUUGAUUGUGAAAUUGGAGCCAGAGAUUCACCUUUUACUUGAUAGUGCCUAUCCAGAGUAUGUGAGAAUCAGUUUACGUCAGGGAAUCAAUUUCAACCUUGCCAAACUCUGUUGUGGAGGUAUGUGCUUGAAAUUAUGUGGUGGAAUCAUAUUAACAGAUUCUCCAUACCGUUAAAUAGUUAUUAUGGUAUACACAUUCAUCUAGAUCAUCGUUGAAGGUUGGUGCUACUAUGCUGUUUGUAAUUAUAGAUAUAAAAUAUCAGAUGUUGUGUAUCUAAAUAUUUUAAUCCCAGCAUAUUUUCUUUUCAUGUAUAAAAAUUACGCAUUGAAGCGUCAUUUGUGCUGAUAUUUGCCAAAAUAUUCUUCU
rnacentral:misc_RNA from 1 species